AUUGCCUCAGUAACGGCGAGUGAAGCGGCAAGAAGCUCAAAUUUGAAAGCUGGCCCCUUCGGGGUCCGCGUUGUAAUUUGCAGAGGAUGCUUCGGGUGCGGCCCCUGUCUAAGUGCCCUGGAACGGGCCGUCAGAGAGGGUGAGAAUCCCGUCUUGGGCAGGGUGCCCGUGCCCGUGUGAAGCUCCUUCGACGAGUCGAGUUGUUUGGGAAUGCAGCUCUAAAUGGGUGGUAAAUUUCAUCUAAAGCUAAAUACCGGCCGGAGACCGAUAGCGCACAAGUAGAGUGAUCGAAAGAUGAAAAGCACUUUGAAAAGAGAGUUAAACAGCACGUGAAAUUGUUGAAAGGGAAGCGCUUGCGACCAGACUCGGCCCCGGGGUUCAGCCAGCACUCGUGCUGGUGUACUUCCCCGGGGGCGGGCCAGCGUCGGUUUGGGCGGCCGGUCAAAGGCCCCAGGAAUGUAUCGCCCUCCGGGGUUGUCUUAUAGCCUGGGGUGCAAUGCGGCCAGCCCGGACCGAGGAACGCGCUUCGGCACGGACGCUGGCGUAAUGGUCGCAAACGACCCGUCUUGAAACACGGACCAAGGAGUCUAACAUCUACGCGAGUGUUCGGGUGUCAAACCCGUACGCGCAGUGAAAGCGAACGGAGGUGGGAGCCCCCCCGGGGCGCACCAUCGACCGAUCCUGAUGUCUUCGGAUGGAUUUGAGUAAGAGCGUAGCUGUGGGGACCCGAAAGAUGGUGAACUAUGCCUGAAUAGGGCGAAGCCAGAGGAAACUCUGGUGGAGGCUCGCAGCGGUUUCUGACGUGCAAAUCGAUUCGUCAAAUUUGGGUAUAGGGGCGAAAGACUAAUCGAACCAUCUGGUAGCUGGGUUCUGC
rnacentral:rRNA from 1 species